UACAGAGGUGCCAAGCGUUGUUCGGAUUUAUUGGGCGUAAAGGGUGCGUAGGUGGUCAUACAAGUCGGGUGUGAAAUCCCGGAGCCUAACUCCGGAACGGCACUCGAAACUGUUUGACUGGAGGUCUGGAGAGGUGACUGGAAUUCUCGGUGUAGCAGUGAAAUGCGUAGAUAUCGAGAGGAACACCAGAGGCGAAGGCGAGUCACUGGGCAGAACCUGACACUGAGGCACGAAAGCUAGGGGAGCAAACGGG
rnacentral:rRNA from 1 species